UCUCCUCUUUCCCCCUCCUCACGCGACCCCUCCCCUGCCGCCCCUCAACGCCCCCGCCCAAGCUGUGACGGCACAAUCCGGCUCGCGCUCGGAACCCGCCUAGACCCCCCCCCCGCCACGCGCCCCUCCUCUCCUCUCCCCCGCCCUCCGGCCCCGGCUCGACUACUCCCCUCGAGUCACCUCAUCGCACGCGCCGGCACCUUCGGCUCGCCGUACACGCGCGCGCGUCACACAGACACACACACAUUGCCAGGCCGCCGCCCCUUCCCUUCCUUCGCUCUUUUUUUUACCCCUCUGCUAGGAUAGUCUCCCUCCGCCACGGUCGCCUUCUGGCCCCCGCCAAGCCUUUCCCCGGCCCCUCCGGAAGCCGAGAAGGAAGGCGCUGGGUCGGAGUGGGAGGAAGCGGGAACGAGGACACUCACCGGUUCCACCGUCGCCAUCUUAGAUCGCUCUGAUCGUACAAGCGCGGAGGGGAGGGGAGAGUGCCUGUUUGUACUGGAAGUUUGGAAAGAAGACAUUUGUAUUAUGCAGAUCAUUGCAUGAAGCAUUUUGGAACUGCUAGAAUCAAUUUAGAAACACUAAGACUAGCUCAUGUUGUUGGGGAACAACUGAUUUAUUCAUCGGAUUUUCAGGUGAGCAGAUGCUGUUGACAAGAUUGGACUGAACCACAAUGAAGGAUGGGAUCUAUUCACAUACGUAUUAUUAUGCAGGCGUCGGGACAAGACAAGCCUAGGAAGAAUUGUAUUCCAUUAUUAUUGUUGGAAAGGCGAAGCUAAAGUCCCAUUGGUUUGAACAGGAUUCACAACUAAAUCUUUACCAGUAUUCAGUGGCGCUUUCCCCCCAAGUACCUAUGCAUAAGACAGUGGUGUGAUGCAAUCUUCUGUAAAUUUACUAGCAGGCAUUACUGUGUUUAGUGAGGCUUACUCCUAAGUAAGGUUAAGUUUUGUUGGAAUCCGCCUACUCGCUUUUGCUGUGAAACUAGUACAAAUGAAUGUACUGUACACUGUUGACCCAAACUAGACAGUUCUUGUUGCCCCUUGAGCAAUUGAACCAUGAGUGUUUUAUUAGAGCUCUAUCACUUUGGAAGGUUUAUCAGGAGCAUUUGCAGCAUUCGUGAAACUCUCGUGGAGUUUGUGGUCAUGAUCCAAUGAGGAUUUACAUUCACAAAAGCAACAGUGUAUCAGGGUUUAUAGUUUCCUCUUGAGCAUCUCAUCCCUUAAGUCAUUUCCAUCCUGGUAUAAUUUCAUUGUAUCAUGCCAGUUUGAUUCAAGAGACCUCUAGGUGGCAUACAAUUAAAAAUCCAUAAUACAAGCAGUGGCACAAACAAGACGCAACCACAGUCGUUACACAGUGCUUAUAGUUGCCCUAAAACCUUUUAUUAAAAUGAGCCUGGCAGACCUCUUGAGGGGGUGUUCUGGCAUGUGGUUGCCACCACAGUGAAGGCCCUGCUUCUAGCAGAAACCAGUCUGGUUUUACAUAAUGAAGAAAUCUAAAGCAGAGCCGCCCUAUAAGAUUGUAGUACAUGGGAAGGGAGAAGCUUAAAAUCUGGACCCUAUGAAUCUUUAUUUAGAUAAUUCCUUCUAGGUAAAUGUUGCCCUGAAUUUUUGUUUUAAUUUGCUUUUAUAUACUUUCACAUUGGUGUUUAUUGGUUUCAGUUUGCAUUUUGUUGAAUGUUAUUGUUUGUUUUUGAUAUUGUAUAUCCCUUAGAAAUUUGUAAAAUAUUAAGCAUUUAUACAUUCUAAUAAAUAAAGUGAAUUGCAGCUGUUUA